UGGUGGGUAGUUUGACUGGGGCGGUCUCCUCCUAAAGAGUAACGGAGGAGCACGAAGGUUGGCUAAUCCUGGUCGGACAUCAGGAGGUUAGUGCAAUGGCAUAAGCCAGCUUGACUGCGAGCGUGACGGCGCGAGCAGGUGCGAAAGCAGGUCAUAGUGAUCCGGUGGUUCUGAAUGGAAGGGCCAUCGCUCAACGGAUAAAAGGUACUCCGGGGAUAACAGGCUGAUACCGCCCAAGAGUUCAUAUCGACGGCGGUGUUUGGCACCUCGAUGUCGGCUCAUCACAUCCUGGGGCUGAAGUAGGUCCCAAGGGUAUGGCUGUUCGCCAUUUAAAGUGGUACGCGAGCUGGGUUUAGAACGUCGUGAGACAGUUCGGUCCCUAUCUGCCGUGGGCGCUGGAGAACUGAGGGGGGCUGCUCCUAGUACGAGAGGACCGGAGUGGACGCAUCACUGGUGUUCGGGUUGUCAUGCCAAUGGCACUGCCCGGUAGCUAAAUGCGGAAGAGAUAAGUGCUGAAAGCAUCUAAGCACGAAACUUGCCCCGAGAUGAGUUCUCCCUGACUCCUUGAGAGUCCUGAAGGAACGUUGAAGACGACGACGUUGAUAGGCCGGGUGUGUAAGCGC
rnacentral:rRNA from 1 species